UUGAUGCUACCUUUAUGGAAAACGCAGACGCGUGUGUAAUUAUGCCGGAGGGGCUAGACAGCGGUAGUGAAAUUUUUAACAAGGUGUUACACCCACUGACGUCAACGGCAAAGAUGGAAACAAAAGAGAGACAUAGGAGGGAAGGAAACAUGCAGAUCAAUCUUCCAAUUCAUAACAGAAACAGGUACAACCAUGGAUUAUGCGUGCGUGUACGUGUGUGCCUUCAUAGUGUAUUGAGAUCGUAGAUAAAGUGUUUAGCAGCAACAAGGGAGGAAAUAAGGUUACGGUGGGAGUUCAGGAGCCAAUCAUUCAGAAUGCCUAAGAGGGUAGGAUGAGUCACCAAUACGAUCAAAUAGUGGAUUAACAAAUUACUCUGGAAGAGAUUCUCUCUUCAGCUAGCGUGGAAAGAAGACAUGUUUUUUUUACCCUGGACGAAGAAUUUGUAAUGUCUCAAAACUCUGGUACCACAUGCAGACCCAAUGUUGACGUCCUUCAUUUGAACGUGUUUCUAGUAUAACAUCUGUCUCUUAGAGAGUGCGAACCUUUCCUAUGUAAAUCAUCACAGGAGUUUUGUGAUCCAAUGAUGACAAUGUAAAAAGCGGACAGCUUACCACAAACUGACUCAAAAACCCUCCUGUCAAUUCUCAAAUUAUUAUUAAUGAUAAUCCACCAUGCUGGUUUUCUAUUUGGACACUUUUGAGAUUGAGAAUGUAAAUGAAUACAAAUAUUUGGGGAUAUGAUUCGAAAAAACAAUAAAUUCAAUUUAUGCAAAAGAAAUUUAGCACAACAGGCUCGCAAAGUCAUGUUUUAUAUCUUAAAUAAAUCAAAUGAAUAUUGUUUGUAAAGUGAAUAUCGUUUAAAAUUA